UCGUCUAUCAGUAGUAUCUUCUACAAAAGGUUGCUCAUAACGCUUUCCAUACUUCUCUCUUCUAUCGAUAGUAUCCUCUGCAAAAGCUUGUUCAUAGCGUUGUCUGUACCUCUGUGUUCUAUCAGCAGUAUCUUCAUAGAGCUUUCCGUAUUUCUCUGUUCUAUCAACGACAUCUUCAUACCGCUUUCCGUACUUUUCUGUUCUAUCAGCAGCAUCUUCAUACCGCUUUCCGUACUUCUCUGUUCUAUCAGCAGCAUUUUCAUACCGCUUUCCGUACUUCUCGGUUCUAUCAGCAACAUCUUCAUACCGCUUUCCGUACUUCUCUGUUCUAUCAGCAGCAUCUUCAUACCUCUUCCCGUACUUCUCUGUUCUAUCAGCAGUAUCUUCAUAGCACUUUCCGUAUUUCUCUAUUCUAUCAGCAGCAUCUUCAUACCGCUUUCCGUACUUCUCUGUUCUAUCAGCAAUAUCUUCGUAGCGCUUUCCGUAUUUCUCUAUUCUAUCAGCAGCAUCUUCGUACCGCUUCCCGUACUUCUUUGUUCUAUCAGCAGCAUCUUCAUACCGCUUUUCGUACUUCUCUGUUCUAUCAGCAGCAUCUUCAUACCUCUUCCCGUACUUCUCUGUUCUAUCAGCAACAUCUUCAUACCGCUUUCCAUACUUCUCUAUUCUAUCAGCAGUAUCUUCGUAAAGCUUUUCGUACUUUUCUAUUCUAUCAGCAGUUUUUUCUGCAAAAGCUUGUUCAUAGCGCUUUCCAUACUUCUCUCUUCUAUCAGCA
rnacentral:lncRNA from 1 species